rnacentral:rRNA from 1 species
GACGAACGCUGGCGGCGUGCUUAACACAUGCCAGUCGAACGGAAAGGCCCUGCUUUUGUGGGGUGCUCGAGUGGCGAACGGGUGAGUAACACGUGAGUAACCUGCCCUUGACUUUGGGAUAACUUCAGGAAACUGGGGCUAAUACCGGAUAGGAGCUCCUGCUGCAUGGUGGGGGUUGGAAAGUUUCGGCGGUUGGGGAUGGACUCGCGGCUUAUCAGCUUGUUGGUGGGGUAGUGGCUUACCAAGGCUUUGACGGGUAGCCGGCCUGAGAGGGUGACCGGCCACAUUGGGACUGAGAUACGGCCCAGACUACUACGGGAGGCAGCAGUGGGGAAUAUUGCACAAUGGGCGGAAGCCUGAUGCAGCAACGCCGCGUGCGGGAUGACGGCCUUCGGGUUGUAAACCGAUUUCGCCUGUGACGAAGCGUGAGUGACGGUAAUGGGUAAAGAAGCACCGGCUAACUACGUG